CGCAGGUGGCGGCUCCUCACGGUGGUCUGUGGACAGCACCGUGGGCAGUGCCGGUAAUGCCAAAGGUGAACCGAUGCCAGGGA